rnacentral:misc_RNA from 1 species
UCUUUGCCGGUUAUAAUAUCCGUUGUCACCCAGUCUUCACCAUUCUUUUCGUCUUCGAUGAUAUCGAGUUUGAGAAAGCGCAACGAGACGGCCUGGCUGUCUUUUUCUUCGGUUUCCCUUGGCGCGAACAACUUACUGGUGUAUUCUUUACUGGCGGCGCAACUGGCUGCCAAAGCAACGAUCAUCAUUAAGAUGACCGCUUGUACUAUUCUUGUUGUUUGCAUGGCCACACGUUUUAUUUUUAGACAACGUAACUAUGACCCAAUUCAUUUGCCAUAAAAUCUUAAAAUCACAUUUAAUGAAAUACUUUCUCAUACUAUUAACAGUGCUUUUCAGUGGAAACGUCGCCUGGAGCCAGACAGCCGGAGACUCGGUGAAGCAAGUGAUCAAUAACAUGUUUA